GAAGGUGUAACUCAGCAACAGAGUAUGUGCUUAGCAUACACGAGGUCCUGGGUUCAAUCCUCACCACCUUUG
rnacentral:tRNA from 1 species